AGCGCUUCUCGGCCUUUUGGCUAAGAUAAGUGUAGUAUAUGUUCUUAUUAGUUUAAUAUCUGAUACGUCCCCUAUCUGUGGACCAUAUGUUAAAUACAUUUUUCGAGUAGGGAGAUGGAAGAAGAGCUUUUUCUGUCCACUCCAUGCAUCGACUUGGUAUUGCAGUACCUCCAGGACCAGUGCAUCCCUC